AGGUUGCGUUGCACCAUUUAACUUUAACUAUUACAAACGUCACAUCGUCUGUCAAAGCAUCGGUUAAGCGAAAAAUUGGUUGCACCAUUCAACUUUGGUUAAAAUAACGUCAUAACUUUAACGAUAACCAUAACCACCCCAUGUUGGCCGGUUACUGCUUUUGUUAAAGUCAGGUAGCUGUCAAACGCGUUGUAUAACCUUAAAAUAACAGUAUUACGUACAAAUAUUAAUAUUAAAUAAUUCUUAUCAUGUCGCUUCUACGUGAAAUAGCGCUUGAAACAAGUUCCUCAGAAAUUGAGAUUGAGGUGGAGUAAGUACGGAACUUACGAAAUAUGAAGAGAAAGGUGUACUUUCAGAGAACUGAUAGAUUCGCAGGUUCCAGGUCUCAAAAAUGUGGCUCGUGUGUUGGCUUUAAAACUAGAACCUUCCUUACUGCCUCCGACGACGAAAAAUUUUGCAAUCACUCAAAUACAGAAAUAUAUCAAUGAAAAUAAGGACAGAACUAAGAAGAGUGCAGCCCAUUAUUGUGGCUACGGCAUAGCUGCAUAAUAUAUUAUGUAAACAAAAUAGAGACCCUGUGCUGUACCACCAGCUAGGUUUUUUAUGAUGAUUCAUCAUCUGAUGAAGAGGAACCUGUCUAUGCAGUUAACAGGCAUGAUGAGCAUAAUCGAAGGAUGUCAAUAAAUAAUUAUUUUAAUAGAUUA